GAUGAACGCUGGCGGCGUGCCUAAUACAUGCAAGUCGAGCGAACAGACGAGGAGCUUGCUCCUCUGACGUUAGCGGCGGACGGGUGAGUAACACGUGGAUAACCUACCUAUAAGACUGGGAUAACUUCGGGAAACCGGAGCUAAUACCGGAUAAUAUAUUGAACCGCAUGGUUCAAUAGUGAAAGACGGUUUUGCUGUCACUUAUAGAUGGAUCUGCGCCGCAUUAGCUAGUUGGUAAGGUAACGGCUUACCAAGGCAACGAUGCGUAGCCGACCUGAGAGGGUGAUCGGCCACCCUGGAACUGAGACACGGUCCUGACUCCUACGGGAGGCAGCAGUAGGGAAUCUUCCGCAAUGGGCGAAAGCUUGACGGAGCAACGCCGCGUGAGUGAUGAAGGUCUUCGGAUCGUAAAACUCUGUUAUUAGAGAAGAACAAAUGUGUAAGUAACUAUGCCCGUCUUGACGGUACCUAAUCAGAAAGCCACGGCUAACUACGUG
rnacentral:rRNA from 1 species